CCAUGGGUUAAUUAUUCUGCUCUGAUAGUCUUGGGAUAGGAAAUGUAUUCUUGCUUUCUGAAGUCCACUGGGGGAAAGAGAUGGAGAAGCUUUAGGCAAGAUGUUGCUUCCAUCACUCAGAUAAUCUCCCCUCUUCAGUGCCUUGAAGAAGUGUUUUGUAUCCAACACAAUCUACAAACCGAUGACCAGCUCUUCACUAUGGUGCACUUGAACCUACGGACUUCCCUCAGGAUUUAUAGCUAUACCUCUACAAGACAGAAUGGCAGCAGAAACACCUGGAGAACCUCAGAAUUCUGUGAUACUCAGUAUUUUGUGAUACUUGCGGAAUAUCUGCAUGAUUCACUGUGCCACCUAAUGCAAAGCAUUGAAUUAUAACAUGGCUAUGGAGAA
rnacentral:lncRNA from 1 species